AGAAGCCCUUUGGGGUUUUAAAAGUCUUUUCAGCCGUGAGGAAGGGGGGUUCGUUAAUAGCGGCAUCUCUUGACGUUAGCUGCAGAAGAAGCACCGGGUUAAUUCCGUGCCAGCAGCCGCGGUAAUACGGAGGGUGCGAGCGUUAAUCGGAAUUACUGGGCGUAAAGCGCAUGCAGGUGGUUUGUUAAGUCAGAUGUGAGAGCCCGGGGCUCAACCUCGGAACUGCAUUUGAAACUGGCAAACUAGAGUACUGUAGAGGGGGGUAGAAUUUCAGGUGUAGCGGUGAAAUGCGUAGAGAUCUGAAGGAAUACCAGUGGCGAAGGCGGCCCCCUGGACAGAUACUGACACUCAGAUGCGAAAGCGUGGGGAGCAAACAGGAUUAGAUACCCUGGUAGUCCACGCCGUAAACGAUGUCUACUUGGAGGUUGUGGCCUUGAGCCGUGGCUUUCGGAGCUAACGCGUUAAGUAGACCGCCUGGGGGGUACGGUCGCAAGAUUAAAACUCAAAUGAAUUGACGGGGGCCCGCACAAGCGGUGGAGCAUGUGGUUUAAUUCGAUGCAACGCGAAGAACCUUACCUACUCUUGACAUCCAGAGAACUUUCCAGAGAUGGAUUGGUGCCUUCGGGAACUCUGAGACAGGUGCUGCAUGGCUGUCGUCAGCUCGUGUUGUGAAAUGUUGGGUUAAGUCCCGCAACGAGCGCAACCCUUAUCCUUGUUUGCCAGCGAGUAAUGUCGGGAACUCCAGGGAGACUGCCGGUGAUAAACCGGAGGAAGGUGGGGACGACGUCAAGUCAUCAUGGCCCUUACGAGUAGGGCUACACACGUGCUACAAUGGCGCAUACAGAGGGCAGCCAACUCGCGAGAGUGAGCGAAUCCCAAAAAGUGCGUCGUAGUCCGGAUUGGAGACUGCAACUCGACUCCAUGAAGUCGGAAUCGCUAGUAAUCGUAGAUCAGAAUGCUACGGUGAAUACGUUCCCGGGCCUUGUACACACCGCCCGUCACACCAUGGGAGUGGGCUGCAAAAGAAGUGGGUAGUUUAACCUUCGGGAGGACGCUCACCACUUUGUGGUUCAUGACUGGGGUGAAGUCGUAACAAGGUAGCCGU
rnacentral:rRNA from 1 species